rnacentral:rRNA from 1 species
CGUCAAAUCAUCAUGCCCCUUAUGACCUGGGCUACACACAUACUACAAUGGCCGGUACAACGGGAAGCGAAGGAGCGAUCCGGAGCCAAUCCUAUAAAGCCGGUCUCAGUUCGGAUUGUAGGCUGCAACUCGCCUGCAUGAAGCCGGAAUCGCUAGUAAUCGCGGAUCAGCAUGCCGCGGUGAAUACGUUCCCGGGCCUU